AGUGGCGGACGCCUGAGUAAUGUCUGGGAAACUGCCUGAUGGAGGGGGAUAACUACUGGAAACGGUAGCUAAUACCGCAUAACGUCGCAAGACCAAAGAGGGGGACCUUCGGGCCUCUUGCCAUCAGAUGUGCCCAGAUGGGAUUAGCUAGUAGGUGGGGUAACGGCUCACCUAGGCGACGAUCCCUAGCUGGUCUGAGAGGAUGACCAGCCACACUGGAACUGAGACACGGUCCAGACUCCUACGGGAGGCAGCAGUGGGGAAUAUUGCACAAUGGGCGCAAGCCUGAUGCAGCCAUGCCGCGUGUAUGAAGAAGGCCUUCGGGUUGUAAAGUACUUUCAGCGGGGAGGAAGGCGAUGAGGUUAAUAACCUCGUCAAUUGACGUUACCCGCAGAAGAAGCACCGGCUAACUCCGUGCCAGCAGCCGCGGUAAUACGGAGGGUGCAAGCGUUAAUCGGAAUUACUGGGCGUAAAGCGCACGCAGGCGGUCUGUCAAGUCGGAUGUGAAAUCCCCGGGCUCAACCUGGGAACUGCAUUCGAAACUGGCAGGCUAGAGUCUUGUA
rnacentral:rRNA from 1 species